rnacentral:misc_RNA from 1 species
AAGUCGUAACAAGGUAUCCGUAGGUGAACCUGCGGAUGGAUCAUUAACGUUCUAUUUGAAAGAAACUAUAAAAGAAGGGGCAUUAAUACUAGCGUCAGCUAGUGUUGAUGUCUAUCUAUUAUUCUUCCUUUUCAAAUAAUACAAACGUACACCCUUGUGGUGAAUAUAGGAACUAGAGUGGUUCUAGUGGAGUAGUGUAGAGUGUAAUGGCAGAGUAGUGCAAUUUUAAUUGCAUUGUAAUGCCGUUCCUCUCUAUCGCAAAGCUAGAAUCUUCUGAUCUAUUAUAUAAACGCUAUUGUUUACAUUUAUUAAGACUAAAGUUUACCUUGUGAAUCGUUACUGAUUACCAAGUAAAACAAUUAAUAAAUCUAAUACAACUGCUAGCAACGGAUCACUCGGCUCUC